rnacentral:rRNA from 1 species
AGAGUUUGAUCCUGGCUCAGAACGAACGCUGGCGGCAGGCCUAACACAUGCAAGUCGAGCGCGCCCCGAAAACUUCGGUUGGCGGGGUGAGCGGCGGACGGGUGAGUAACGCGUGGGAACGUACCCUUUGGUUCGGAAUAGCCUCGGGAAACUGGGAGUAAUACCGGAUACGGUCGAGAGACGAAAGAUUUAUCGCCGAAGGAUCGGCCCGCGUUGGAUUAGGUAGUUGGUGGGGUAAUGGCCUACCAAGCCGACGAUCCAUAGCUGGUUUGAGAGGAUGAUCAGCCACACUGGGACUGAGACACGGCCCAGACUCCUACGGGAGGCAGCAGUGGGGAAUCUUAGACAAUGGGCGCAAGCCUGAUCUAGCCAUGCCGCGUGAGCGAUGAAGGCCUUAGGGUUGUAAAGCUCUUUCAGUGGGGAAGAUAAUGACUGUACCCACAGAAGAGCCCCGAUCCCCUG